rnacentral:tRNA from 1 species
CAAAAAAUGGCUGAAGUUUAGGCGAAAGGUUGUAAACUUUUUAAUGAGAAUUUCUCUUUUUUGA